AUGAGAGAGGGGAUGAGUCCAGGCUGUAAGACCCAUGAAAAAUAUCUAUUUUAAUAAAUAGUAGUAAAUUUUAGAAGUAUUAGUAGUAGUAGUAAUUUUAUAGAAUAAAAAAUAUAAUUAGAAAAAUUAAAAUUUAUGAUAGAAAAUUAUAAUAAUUUCAGAAGAAGGGACUCAAAAUUUUAAGAACUUAUUUUAGAAGGUUUUGUAAAAAAAUAAUAAAAUAAAAAAAAUAAAAAAUAAAAAAAAUAAUAAUGAAAUAAAAUAAAAAUGUGAAUAGUGCCUAAUGGAUAAGGCAUCCUACGAGACAUUGAUGAAGCAGAUAAGAAGAUUGGGUGGUGAAUGAUUAAAAUAUUAUUUUUUUAUAAAAUAAUAUAAAAAAUCCUUGAAUAGUCAAAUUUUUUUAAUUUUUUUUUUUUGCUAUAAAUAGCCAAGGGAGGGGGAGAAGGAUUAUGCAUAAGAAAGAGGAAAAAUAAGAGAGAAAGAGAGAAAGGAGAGAAGGAAAGAAUUAGGAAGAAAUUUUGGUUGCAAAGAGAGUAGAGAUUCUGGAGGAUUUUCAGGGUAACAACUUCUGAGUAGGAAACUAAGUCUGGAAAAGAGGUAAGGGGAGCUAACCUUUCUAAAUUUUUAUAUUAUAAUUUUUUUUUAACUAUUUAUGUCUUGAAAUUUUGUGGAAUUACUGUUAAUGAAAAACCUAUGUGCUUGUUGUAUAACUAUUUGAAUUUCUGUGAUAAUAUUAUAUGUUGUUGUUUUGAAUCUGUGAAUA
rnacentral:lncRNA from 1 species